rnacentral:rRNA from 1 species
UACGUAGGGUGCGAGCGUUGUCCGGAAUUACUGGCGUAAAGAGCUCGUAGGCGGUCUGUCGCGUCGAAUGUGAAACCCGGGGCUCAACUCCGGGCUUGCAUUCGAUACGGGCAGGCGUGGAGUUCGGUAGGGGAGACUGGAAUUCCUGGUGUAGCGGUGGAAAUGACGCAGAUAUCAGGAGGAACACCGGUGGCGAAGGCGGGUCUCUGGGCCGAUACUGACGCUGAGGAGCGAAAGCGUGGGGAGCGAACAGG